rnacentral:rRNA from 1 species
UACGGGGGGGGCAAGCGUUGUUCGGAAUUACUGGGCGUAAAGGGCUCGUAGGCGGCCAACUAAGUCAGACGUGAAAUCCCUCGGCUUAACCGGGGAACUGCGUCUGAUACUGGAUGGCUUGAAUCCGGGAGAGGGAUGCGGAAUUCCAGGUGUAGCGGUGAAAUGCGUAGAUAUCUGGAGGAACACCGGUGGCAAAGGCGGCAUCCUGGACCGGUAUUGACACUGAGGCGCGAAAGCCAGGGGAGCAAACGGG